rnacentral:tRNA from 1 species
GCUUCCUUGGCUCAGUUGGUUAGAGCGCCGGUCUCAUAUUCAGUUAUGACCGUUGUGAAACGGGCGAUCCGGAGGCCGUGAGUUCGAGUCUCACAGGGAGCA